CUUCUUAAUAGAUGGGAGAAUUUCCAGGACAGAUUAGCGCUCAAGUCUGUGAUGUCCUAGGGCGACCACUGGUGCAGGAGACAUAGAAGACCAGGUCUGGAGAUUGAAAGAUGCUCUUAUAUUGCAGGAAAUAAUCCUCUUUAUACUACAAGAUAUGUGAAUGCGGAGGACUACGUCAGAUUCGGCGGAUUGCGAUGAUGAACAGUGUUUUUUUAAAUGUCAAUAAAAGGGUUAACAAGG